rnacentral:rRNA from 1 species
UACAGAGGUCUCAAGCGUUGUUCGGAUUCAUUGGGCGUAAAGGGUGCGUAGGCGGUCUGUUACGUCUGCUGUGAAAACCCGGGGCUUAACCCUGGGCUUGCAGUGGAUACGGGCAGACUAGAGGCAGGUAGGGGAGAAUGGAAUUCCCGGUGUAGCGGUGAAAUGCGCAGAUAUCGGGAGGAACACCGGUGGCGAAGGCGGUUCUCUGGGCCUGACCUGACGCUGAGGAGCGAAAGCGUGGGGAGCGAACAGG